AUUACAGAAAAGUUUGCAGGCUUCAGCUCUAUUAAAUGGCUAAAAUGGAAAAAGAAGUGAGAACCCAUAGAAAUAGUUACCAUGGAGACUUCAACAUUCCAGGAAUGAUGAGCUGACUGGACCUAAUUGUGACCUGGGAGCCCUGUCUAAAGGACGGACUGGCAACCAAAGCCGACUUUCUCCCCAGGACUUUGAGAAGCAGCACCUCCUCAGGGGAUGGCGUCUCAGAGAGCAACUGAGAUAUACUCAGACUCAAAAUAUACUCAACUUUCCUUCAUCUAGUGUAUUCUUUAUCUUGAUCUGAUGUCCUGGACGUUUCUCACAGAAGAAGUUCCCACCAAAUUGAUAGUAAAGUAAUUAAAAUCAUAAGAUUUUAGAAAAUAAGAGGAGAGGCAACAAUGGAUGGGAGAUGUCAGCAUGUUCUUGGAAGAAUGAAACCAGAAGGCAGGAAGAUGGAAACCAAGGGCUGGUGAUGAGAGUUUUGACCUGUUCAGGAUUUACCAGCAACAGGGCCUGAUCUCGGAUUCCAGAGGAGACUUGGUUUACAUGGUCUCCUAUUUUUUGACGCGCUUUGGAAGAGAAUAACAUGGUCAGGCCUAAGAGUAGCUGUGAAAUAAAGGAAGCAUGUCUUCAGUGCCCUCAA
rnacentral:lncRNA from 1 species